AUGGCGGCCUCGGAGGCGGCGGCGACAGUGUCCCCGGCUCUCAUGGCCUCAGGCCCGUGGGUGACCCCGGGACCCCGACUGAGGGGCAGCCGGCCGCGGCCCACAGGGGCGACGCAGCAGCCCGCGGCCCCCGUGCUGGCGGGGAUGCUGAUCCAGCAGUAGGUGAGCGAGCUGUCCCAGGCCGUGUGGACCAACAUCCUGUGCACCGUGCGCGGCUGCCGCAAGAUCCUGCCCAACAGCCACGCGCUCAACAUGCACCUGGUCAAGAGCCACCGCCUGCAGGAUAGCAUAGUCAAUUCAACAAUAAGAAAAGAUUUGAAAACUAUACCGAAAUUCUACUGUUGUCCAAUCGAAGGCUGACCCAGAGGCCCUGACAGACCAUUUUCUCAGUUUUCUCUCGUAAAACAGCACUUCUGAAAAUGCAUGCUGAGAAGAAGCACAAAUGUAGUAAGUGCAGCAAUUCGUACGGUACAGAAUGGGACCUGAAAAGACACGCAGAGGACUGUGGCAAGACCUUCCGGUGCACAUGCGGCUGUCCCUACGCCAGUAGAACAGCAUUGCAGUCUCACAUCUACCGAACUGGCCACGAGAUCCCUGCAGAACACAGGGACCCACCUAGUAAGAAAAGGAAAAUGGAAAACUGUGCAAAACCAGAAGCUAUCCAACAAGACCACUGAAUCAUUUAACAACCAACCAAUCAAUCCCUAGACCAGACACUCAAGAACUAGAAGCUUCAGAAAUAACGCUAGAACCAUCUUUUGAAGACUCUUGUGGCUCUAACACUGACAGGCAGACUCUUACAACACCACCGAGAUAUCCUCAGAAGUUGCUUUUACCAAAGCCCAAAGUGGCUUUGCUUAAACUACCCGUGAUGCAGUUUUCCCUCAUGCCUGUCUUUGUGCCUACAGCCGACUCCUCAGCCCAGCCUGUGCUGUUAGGUGUCGAUCAGGGCUCUGCCACAGGGGCUGUGCAGUUACCGCCCUUGUCAGUAGGAACCCUGAUCCUUGGCCUAGAUUCAGAGGCUUGCUCUCUUAAGGAGAGCCUACCUCUUUCCUAAAUUGCUGAUCCUGCUGCUGUUGAGCCAAUAAGUACUGGUGUUCAAGUGAACUUGGGUAAAAGUCCAUCUAAUCCUUUACAAGAACUAAGGAACACAUGUCAAAAGAACAGCAUUUCUUCAAUCAAUGUGCAGACAGAUCUGUCUUAUGCCUCACAAAACUUUAUACCUUCUGCACAGUGGGCCACCACUGAUUCCUCUGUGUCGUCUUGUUCUCAAACUGAUUUGUUGUUUGAUUCUCAAGUGUCUCUUCCCAUUAGUGUUCACACUCAGACAUUUUUGCCCAGCUCUAAGGUAACUUCAUCUAUAGCUGCUCAGACUGAUGCAUUUAUGGACACCUGUUUCCAGUCGGGUGGGGUCUCCAGAGAAACUCAAACCAGUGGGAUACGAAGUCCAACAGAUGACCAUGUACAGAAGGACCAAGCUGGAAUGUGCGGAGACAUUUUUGAGAGUGUUCAUUCAUCAUAUAAUGUUAAUACAAGUAACAUUAUAAGCAACAGUUUAGUAGCAGAGACAGUAACUCAUAGUUUGUUACCUCAGAAUGAGCCUAAGACUUUAAAUCAAGAUAUUGAGAAAUGUGCACCAAUUAUAAACUUCAGUGCACAGAAUAGUAUGCUUCCUUUACAGAACAUGACAGAUAAUCAGACCCAAACCACAGAUUUAUUAAAUGAUUUGGAAAACAUCUUGUCAAGUAAUCUGCCUGCUCAGACACUGGAUCAUCGUAGUCUUUUGUCUGACAGAAAUCCUGGACCUGACACCCAGCUCCCAUCUGGCCCAGCCCAGAACCCUGGAAUCAAUUUUAAUAUCGAAGAGUUCUUUUUGGCCUCACAUAUCCAGACUCAAACUGAAGAGAAUGAACUUAGCACCAUGAACAACGAGCCAGUCUUGGAGUCACUGGACAUAGAGACUCAAACGGACUUCUUACUCGCAGAUACCUCUGCUCAGUCCUACGGGUGUAGGGGAAAUUCUAACUUCUUAGGCCUUGAGAUGUUUGACACACAGACACAGACAGACUUAAACUUUUUCUUAGACAGUAGUCCUCAUCUGCCUCUGGGAAGUAUUCUGAAACACUCCAGCUUUUCCAUGAGUACUGAUUCAUCUGACACAGAGACCCAAACUGAAAGAAUCUCCACUGCUAAAAAUAUACCUGCUCUAGAAAGCAAAGUUCAGUUGAACAGUAUAGAAACACAGACCAUGAGUUCUGGGUUUGAAACCCUGGGGAGCUUGUUCUUCACCAGCAACGAAACACAAACAGCAAUGGACGACUUUCUUCUGGCUGAUAUGGCCUGGAACAUGAUGGAGUCUCAGUUCAGCUCUGUAGAAACCCAGACUUCUGCGGAACCACACACAGUCUCCAACUUCUAAAACUAACAGUGGAGUCCAUGUGUGAGACGGCAUCUACCAUUUCCUCUGGAUUAAAACUAUGGACGGGGGACAACAGUAUUAAUUCGAUUGAAUGUGGCUGAUGAUGCAGUUGCUUAGCUUCUUUGCAGUUCUUUGCCUUUUGUACUUGUAAACAGAAAUUUGUGUAUAAAUGUGAGUGUAUUAUAAAGUUUGAGAUGUUGAUCUAAAAAAAAAA